rnacentral:lncRNA from 1 species
GUGGAAGAAUGGUCUCAGAACUGUUUGUUUCAAUUGGCCAUUUAAGUUUAGUAGUGAAAGACUGGUUAAUGAUAACAAUGCAUCGUAAAACCUUCAGAAGGAAAGGAGAAUGUUUUGUGGACCACUUUGGUUUUCUUUUUUGCAUGUGGUAGUUUUAAGUUAUUAGUUUUUAAAAUCAGUACUUUUUAAUGGAAACAACUUGACCAAAAAUUUGUCACAGAAUUUUG